rnacentral:rRNA from 1 species
UUAAUUGAAGAGUUUGAUCAUGGCUCAGAUUGAACGCUGGCGGCAGGCCUAACACAUGCAAGUCGAGCGGUAACAGGGGAAGCUUGCUUCUCGCUGACGAGCGG